UGAGCGGAGAUAUAUGGAGCUUGCUUUAUAUAACUUAGCAGCGAACGGGUGAGUAACACGUAGAUAAUCUAUCCUAUACUGGGGGAUAGCCCGAUGAAAGUUGGAUUAAUACCGCAUAUAGCUAUAUAGUUGCAUGAUUAUGUAGUGAAAGAUUUAUUGGUAUAGGAGGAGUCUGCGGCACAUUAGCUAGUAGGUGAGGUAAAGGCUUACCUAGGCGACGAUGUGUAGCCGGUCUGAGAGGAUGAACGGCCACAAUGGAACUGAGACACGGUCCAUACUCCUACGGGAGGCAGCAGUGGGGAAUAUUGCACAAUGGGGGAAACCCUGAUGCAGCAACGCCGCGUGAGUGAAGAAGGUUUUCGGAUUGUAAAGCUCUGUUAGCAGGGAAGAGGAAGGACGGUACCUGCAGAGGAAGCCACGGCUAACUACGUGCCAGCAGCCGCGGUAAUACGUAGGUGGCAAGCGUUGUUCGGAAUAACUGGGCGUAAAGGAUGCGUAGGCGGUUAAACAAGUUAUAUGUUAAAUAUAUAGGCUUAACCUGUAGAAAGCAUAUAAAACUGUUUAACUAGAGUGCAGGAGAGGUAAGUGGAAUUCCUAGUGUAGCGGUGAAAUGCGUAGAGAUUAGGAAGAACACCAGUGGCGAAGGCGACUUACUGGACUGUAACUGACGCUGAGGCAUGAGAGCAUGGGGAGCAAACAGGAUUAGAUACCCUGGUAGUCCAUGCUGUAAACGAUGGGUACUAGGUGUGGGUUGUGAAUAACAAUUCGUGCCGUCGCAAACGCAAUAAGUACCCCGCCUGAGGAGUACGAUCGCA
rnacentral:rRNA from 1 species